UGGGGAAUAUUGGACAAUGGGCGCAAGCCUGAUCCAGCCAUGCCGCGUGAGUGAUGAAGGCUCUAGGGUUGUAAAGCUCUUUCACCGGUGAAGAUAAUGACGGUAACCGGAGAAGAAGCCCCGGCUAACUUCGUGCCAGCAGCCGCGGUAAUACGAAGGGGGCUAGCGUUGUUCGGAUUUACUGGGCGUAAAGCGCACGUAGGCGGACUUUUAAGUCAGGGGUGAAAUCCCGGGGCUCAACCCCGGAACUGCCUUUGAUACUGGAAGUCUAGAGUAUGGUAGAGGUGAGUGGAAUUCCGAGUGUAGAGGUGAAAUUCGUAGAUAUUCGGAGGAACACCAGUGGCGAAGGCGGCUCGCUGGACCAUUACUGACGCUGAGGUGCGAAAGCGUGGGGAGCAAACAGG
rnacentral:rRNA from 1 species